UCCACAGACCUCCCAGCUGUCCAUCCUGGCUGGGCACAUCCAACCUCAGGCCGUUUGCCCACACUGACCCCUCCGGAAAGCUCCUCCCACCGCUGCCUCCACACGUGACUUCGGUCCAGCGGCCUUCUCCAGAUCCACCUCCUCGCCGACCCCCCGGUUCUCCUCCAUCGACUCCUUCUCGAACUUGUAACUCUGUGAUUUCCCUGCCUUGUGCCUCAUCAGAGCCGCGGUCGGAGCAGCCACGUUCCCCCGCGAACUUCCUCACGAAGACGAACCCUGGGCUGCCUAGGGUGACUUCUCAGCUCGGAAGAUUAUUUCAUUUAAAUUCUUCAGAAUCUGUAUGAUCAGCGAGUGUCCUGAGUCACCGCUGCCGUGUGCCAGGUCCGCCUCCGUCCCCAGCCCAAGACGGGGGACAGAUAUCAAAUGAGCAAACAACGCCACUGCCUUGCUGGUUUCCUAGGACUCGCCUGGUGAGUGGCACACAGCCCCAGCCCCGCGGGUGUCCCUGUGGGCUCGCCUCUCCUGGGCCCUCACGUGAGCGGAAGCGCACCAGAUGCCACCCUGCCACGGGCUUCUUGCAUUGAGCGCCACGUUUUCAAGGUUCGUCUGUGUUGUUGCCUCUAUUAGAAUUUCACUCCUUUGUAUGGCCAAAUAAUAUGCUUGAUUUAUGGA